rnacentral:rRNA from 1 species
UUGGGGUGACGCAGAGUGGUAGCCACGCCAGUUAUUGGAUUCUGGUGCAAGCGUGUAGCACGACAUCUUGUCAAAUGCGGGUGUUAUGAGUGUGAGGCGUGAUGCGUAGCCCAUAUGUGGGUGAUGGUGGUGAUCCUGUGCUGCCGAGAAAAGCCUCUAGCGAUGUGGUGUCACGGCCCGUACCCGAAACCGACACAGGUGAUCAGGUAGAGCAUACUAAGGCGGUCGGGUGAACUGUGGUUAAGGAACUCGGCAAAUUGCCCCCGUAACUUCGGGAGAAGGGGGACCUCACCAGGUUUGAAAGCUAGGUGGGGUCGCAGAGAAGAGAGGGGAGCGACUGUUUAUCAAAAACACAGGUCCGUGCGAAGAC